rnacentral:rRNA from 1 species
GUGUCAGCAGCCGCGGUAAUACGUAGGGGGCAAGCGUUGUCCGGAAUUAUUGGGCGUAAAGCGCGCGCAGGCGGUUCUGUCAGUCUCGUGUUUAAGCCCGGGGCUUAACCCCGGUACGCAUGGGAAACUGCAGGACUGGAGUGCAGGAGAGGGGAGCGGAAUUCCACGUGUAGCGGUGAAAUGCGUAGAGAUGUGGAGGAACACCAGUGGCGAAGGCGGCUCUCUGGCCUGUAACUGACGCUGAGGCGCGAAAGCGUGGGGAGCGAACAGGAUUAGAUACCCUGGUAGUCCACGCCGUAAACGAUGAAUGCUAGGUGUUAGGGGUGUCUCAACCCGUAGUGCCGAAGUUAACACAAUAAGCAUUCCGCCUGGGGAGUACGGCCGCAAGGUUGAAACUUAAAGGAAUUGACGGGG